rnacentral:rRNA from 1 species
UGGGGAAUAUUGCACAAUGGGCGCAAGCCUGAUGCAGCCAUGCCGCGUGUAUGAAGAAGGCCUUCGGGUUGUAAAGUACUUUCAGCGGGGAGGAAGGGAGUAAAGUUAAUACCUUUGCUCAUUGACGUUACCCGCAGAAGAAGCACCGGCUAACUCCGUGCCAGCAGCCGCGGUAAUACGGAGGGUGCAAGCGUUAAUCGGAAUUACUGGGCGUAAAGCGCACGCAGGCGGUUUGUUAAGUCAGAUGUGAAAUCCCCGGGCUCAACCUGGGAACUGCAUCUGAUACUGUCAAGCUUGAGUCUCGUAGAGGGGGGUAGAAUUCCAGGUGUAGCGGUGAAAUGCGUAGAGAUCUGGAGGAAUACCGGUGGCGAAGGCGGCCCCCUGGACGAAGACUGACGCUCAGGUGCGAAAGCGUGGGGAGCAAACAGG